rnacentral:rRNA from 1 species
GAUUAAGUUAUUAAGGGCGCACGGUGGAUGCCUUGGCACUAGAAGCCGAUGAAGGACGUUACUAACGACGAUAUGCUUUGGGGAGCUGUAAGUAAGCUUUGAUCCAGAGAUUUCCGAAUGGGGAAACCCAGCAUGAGUUAUGUCAUGUUAUCGAUAUGUGAAUACAUAGCAUAUCAGAAGGCACACCCGGAGAACUGAAACAUCUUAGUACCCGGAGGAAGAGAAAGAAAAUUCGAUUCCCUUAGUAGCGGCGAGCGAAACGGGAAGAGCCCAAACCAACAAGCUUGCUUGUUGGGGUUGUAGGACACUCUAUACGGAGUUACAAAGGACGACAUUAGACGAAUCAUCUGGAAAGAUGAAUCAAAGAAGGUAAUAAUCCUGUAGUCGAAAAUGUUGUCUCUCUUGAGUGGAUCCUGAGUACGACGGAGCACGUGAAAUUCCGUCGGAAUCUGGGAGGACCAUCUCCUAAGGCUAAAUACUCUCUAGUGACCGAUAGUGAACCAGUACCGUGAGGGAAAGGUGAAAAGCACCCCGGAAGGGGAGUGAAAUAGAACCUGAAACCGUGUGCUUACAAGUAGUCAGAGCCCGUUAAUGGGUGAUGGCGUGCCUUUUGUAGAAUGAACCGGCGAGUUACGAUUUGAUGCAAGGUUAAGCAGUAAAUGUGGAGCCGUAGCGAAAGCGAGUCUGAAUAGGGCGUUUAGUAUUUGGUCGUAGACCCGAAACCAGGUGAUCUACCCUUGGUCAGGUUGAAGUUCAGGUAACACUGAAUGGAGGACCGAACCGACUUACGUUGAAAAGUGAGCGGAUGAACUGAGGGUAGCGGAGAAAUUCCAAUCGAACCUGGAGAUAGCUGGUUCUCUCCGAAAUAGCUUUAGGGCUAGCCUCAAGUGAUGAUUAUUGGAGGUAGAGCACUGUUUGGACGAGGGGCCCCUCUCGGGUUACCGAAUUCAGACAAACUCCGAAUGCCAAUUAAUUUAACUUGGGAGUCAGAACAUGGGUGAUAAGGUCCGUGUUCGAAAGGGAAACAGCCCAGACCACCAGCUAAGGUCCCAAAAUAUAUGUUAAGUGGAAAAGGAUGUGGCGUUGCCCAGACAACUAGGAUGUUGGCUUAGAAGCAGCCAUCAUUUAAAGAGUGCGUAAUAGCUCACUAGUCGAGUGACACUGCGCCGAAAAUGUACCGGGGCUAAACAUAUUACCGAAGCUGUGGAUUGUCCUUUGGACAAUGGUAGGAGAGCGUUCUAAGGGCGUUGAAGCAUGAUCGUAAGAACAUGUGGAGCGCUUAGAAGUGAGAAUGCCGGUGUGAGUAGCGAAAGACGGGUGAGAAUCCCGUCCACCGAUUGACUAAGGUUUCCAGAGGAAGGCUCGUCCGCUCUGGGUUAGUCGGGUCCUAAGCUGAGGCCGACAGGCGUAGGCGAUGGAUAACAGGUUGAUAUUCCUGUACCACCUAUAAUCGUUUUAAUCGAUGGGGGGACGCAGUAGGAUAGGCGAAGCGUGCGAUUGGAUUGCACGUCUAAGCAGUAAGGCUGAGUAUUAGGCAAAUCCGGUACUCGUUAAGGCUGAGCUGUGAUGGGGAGAAGACAUUGUGUCUUCGAGUCGUUGAUUUCACACUGCCGAGAAAAGCCUCUAGAUAGAAAAUAGGUGCCCGUACCGCAAACCGACACAGGUAGUCAAGAUGAGAAUUCUAAGGUGAGCGAGCGAACUCUCGUUAAGGAACUCGGCAAAAUGACCCCGUAACUUCGGGAGAAGGGGUGCUCUUUAGGGUUAACGCCCAGAAGAGCCGCAGUGAAUAGGCCCAAGCGACUGUUUAUCAAAAACACAGGUCUCUGCUAAACCGUAAGGUGAUGUAUAGGGGCUGACGCCUGCCCGGUGCUGGAAG